rnacentral:rRNA from 1 species
UGCGGCGGCCAUGGCCCAGGGGAGACGCCCGGACCCAUUCCGAACCCGGAAGCGAAGACCUGGCACGGCGAUGGUACUGCAUUCGACAGGAUGUGGGAGAGUAGCACGCCGCCG